CCACUGACACUGCACAAUGGCCAAUGUCGACUUUCUCCAAAAGCUCCUCAUAGUGCACACUUCAAGAAAUACAGCUGAGUGUGGUCAACAGUGACAUUCAGUCCAUGCAGGCACCAAAGCCUCCAUAUGCUGUGGCAAAUUUUCUCAUCAAGGAUCAGUCCCUGUGGUAUUCUUGAGCAUUACCGACAACAUACUGACACAUAUUCUGUAUGCUUCUAGGUGUCCCUCAGGAGGAAAAUGUGUGGGCCGUUCCUGUCAGGAGACACCAAGGUGUUGCUGAGGUGAACUUGCCUGUCUUUGCCUAUGGAAGACACGUUGAUUACUUAGUGUAUCUCCAGUCAUAUUCGGUGACGUAGGACUAUGUACAUUUUACAUGAUAGCAUUCAAUUCCGUGGUAGGGAGAUUGGUGAGUGGUUGUCUCUUGCCAACUGUAACUUGAUCAAGAGGACAUUAACCACUGGCAAUGCCAAUCCUGCUAAGAAACAGUGCCAUAUGAUCUUUUCCUGAGUAGCAAUAUUUCCUGCUUGGGUGAGGAAGUUUGUAGUUGGCACCCUAAAUUGUCUUCAGAGACACAUCCCCAGGAAAAACAACUUCAGACAGGCAUCCUAUUCAUUUGUUUUUGGGGACCUUUGACUCAAGCACUGUGUGCAUCUGGUUUCCUAAAGUCCAGAAGAGAACCAAAGACCAGUGCAACGCGUGUUCAUCAUGGUCUGACCCUGAUGGUGUUUCUUUUCUCUACAUUCAGGUUGCCGCGGGAGAAACAGAAUAUGGUGUCCCUGAGGAGGAAAAGAUGUGGGCCGUUCCUGUCAGGAGGCAGCAGGAUGUUGCUGAGGUGAGCUUGCCUGUCUUUCCCUGAGGAACACAAGUCAUUUCUUAGCGUCUUUCCAAUCAA
rnacentral:lncRNA from 1 species